ACUCACUAUAACCUCAAACUCCUGGGCUCAAGCAAUCCUCCCACCUCAGCCUCCGGAGUAGCUGGGACUACAGCUCUGCUGCCCCCUGCCCCAUACACGUGAUGGAGCAGAAAACGUGCUGUGUGAACCUGUGACUUCAGGGCCUGUUGACGUGGUCGUGCUUGCAUACUCUCUGGACUGGACCUCACUGUGGGAACAACAAGAUCAACAAGAGGAGCAAGAACAACAUCAAGAGUCAGGGCCCGGGGGUCCUGACGGGUACAGGAUGGGUACAGACCCACACAGGAAUCCCAGAGUGUGUUCCACAGCAGGACACGCCUGCGCUGAAAGAGUGGGCAGAAAGGAGCUGACCUGGGAUUAUGAUCCAAACUCAGCUGGGCCUCCCCUACCUGCCCCAGGAUUGUGGAGUGAGAACGUUGCAGCAGGGGAGAACAACGCAGCAAAGCACAGCAGGGGAACCGGAAAUGCUCACCCUUUGACAGGACCAAACCAAUGCACAACUCCUACGUACUGAUGGUGGUCUUACGUUUCCCUAAGUUUCUGCCGACUAAACUGUGCACACGUUCUCAGGACCUCCUGAAGCUGCGUCACAGGCGCUGAUCAAAGAACACAACCAAGAGUUUGGCCUUUUCUUCAGCACUGGGAAUUGUGAUCCAAAGCUUUUCCUGAUGAGGCACAAAGUUGGAGAAACAAAACGCAAACUAAGCAACAAUGAAACAGAACAGAGUGAAUCUGCUGUAGCUCAAGAGAGGACGUAGCUGCCCCCACCCCGCAUCCCCGGGCUCGGGUUUGCCUUGCUGACCUCUGCUGCCACCUGGUGCCGCACAGAGAAACUGAGGAGAAACCACAUCAGUCUCCUUCAGCCUCAGCUUCACAUCUGUGGGUCAAGCAACCCUUUCAGAAGCU
ensembl:lncRNA novel transcript